rnacentral:tmRNA from 1 species
GGGGUUGUUACGGAUUCGACAGGCAUUAUGAGGCAUGUUUUGCAACUCAUCGGCAGAUGUAAAAUGCCAGUUAAAUAUAACUGCAAAAAAUACACAAUCUUACGCUUUAGCUGCCUAAAAACCAGUUAGCGUGACUUUUACAAGAUUGCUUGUGUCUUGAUAAAAGUCUCAAAAUAGCAGGCUACGUUUAAAUUGUUGUCUAGUAAUUUAAAAAGAGAUCAAUAGACUCGCAUCUUAGAGGCUUGAGUUAUGUGUCGCUAAGUUGUUAAAUGAAAAACAUAACCUAUGGUUGUAGACAAAUGUGUUGGCAGAUGUUUGGACGUGGGUUCGACUCCCACCAGCUCCAUCG